UGCCCUUCUUAAUCUCUAUUUUAAACACCUGUAGCGAUGGAGCAGCCAUCUUUGAUGCCCUUCUUAAUCUCUAUUUUAAACACCUGUAGCGAUCUAAUGGCCAUGUUUGAUGCCCUUCUUUACCCCUCUCUCUAUUUUAAACACCUGUAGCGAUGUAACGGCCAUGUUUGAUGCCCUUCUUUACCCCUCUCUCUAUUUUAAACACCUGUAGCGAUGUUACGGCCAUGUUUGAUGCCCUUCUUUACCCCUCUCUCUAUUUUAAACACCUGUAGCGAUGUAACGGCCAUGUUUGAUGCCCUUCUUUACCCCUCUCUCUAUUUUAAACACCUGUAGCGAUGUAACGGCCAUGUUUGAUGCCCUUCUUUACCUCUCUCUCUAUUUUAAACACCUGUAGCGAUGUAACGGCCAUGUUUGAGAGCCCUUCUUUACCCCUCGCUCUAUUUUAAACACCUGUAGCGAUGGAGCAGCCAUCUUUGAUGCCCUUCUUUAUCUCUCUCUAUUUUAAAACACCUGUACCGAUGUAACGGCCAUGUUUGAUGCCCUUCUUUAUGUCUCUCUCUAUUUUAAACACCUGUAGCGAUGUAACGGCCAUGUUUGAUGCCCUUCUUUACCUCUCUCUCUAUUUUAAACACCUGUAGCGAUGUAACGGACAUGUUUGAUGCCCUUCUUUACCUCUCUCUAUUUUAAACACCUGUAGCGAUGUAACGGCCAUGUUUGAUGCCCUUCUUUACCCCUCUCUAUUUUAAACACCUGUAGCGAUGUAACGGCCAUGUUUGAUGCCCUUCUUUACCCCUCGCUCUAUUUUAAACACCUGUAGCGAUGUAACGGCCAUGUUUGAUGCCCUUCUUUACCUCUCUCUCUAUUUUAAACACCUGUAGCGAUGUAACGGCCAUGUUUGAUGCCCUUCUUUACCCCUCGCUCUAUUUUAAACACCUGUAGCGAUGUAACGGCCAUGUUUGAUGCCCUUCUUUACCUCUCUCUCUAUUUUAAACACCUGUAGCGAUGUAACGGCCAUGUUUGAUGCCCUUCUUUACCUCUCUCUCUAUUAGCUCCUCCAUAGAGAUUUCCUCCUCUUUCUCCUCCUUCUUCUUGUCUUUCUUCAGCACGAAGCCGGGCGGCAGGGCAUGGCGGUACAUGCAGGUGUCGCCCCCUGCUGGGCACACCCAGAACCAGCCAUAUUUGUUGUUCUCAAUGGCCUCCAGGAAGAAUUUACACACCUGUGCAAAAUCAAAGCAGUUGCUCCCCUUUCAUCCACAUGAGAACCGAUCAAGAACCGCACAUUGAAGUAGAACCCUAAGCAUCUUCUCAGUGAGUCUACUUGAGGUGUGUGCCUCUGAGGACUUGAAGUCCACCUGUGAGUACUUGGAGGUGUACUGUGAUCAACAUUUGAAACGGGUCUUACGAUCUGAGUUUUGACUUUCUUGUCAGCCUCGCCGUGCUUCUUGUUGACCACCUCCUCCAGCUUCUUCUCGUCCCAGUUGUCCAUGGUGUCUAGGCCGGGACAGGACUCCAUUGUUAUCCUUCAUUCUGCACGGCCAGACGCCGGGCUCACCUUUCUCCAGCUCCUCGUCCCUCUGGUCCACGUAGACGCUCUUCUUCUCGCACUUCCUCUCCAUGGACAGGUCGUGGCUGAACUUGCACUUGUCCCCUUUGGUGCACUGGCCCUGCUUGAAGAAGGCGCACAGCACCGACUUGGGAUCCACGCCUGAAGGACACAAAAGAGUUGAAGAAGAAGAAGAAGAAAGACUUGGAGGUCCUCCAAACAUCAAGCAGGUGAGGAACCUUUGCUGACUUUCUGAGCGGCGACUACGGGCUUGAAGAGCUCAUUGAGCUCAUCCAACUCUUUCUUCUUGUCCGUCUUCUUGGCGGUCUUGUCACCCUCCACCUGAGACGCACACACAUGGUCUUCUCCUCUACGUCCUAGCAGAAGAAGAAGUGUCGACCUCACCUGUCGGACGUUUUGCGGUCCAGAUUUCACUUGCUGUGUCACGUUCUUGAUGAACUUUUGUUGUUUGGCCCCUUUCUUGUUCUUCAAGCCAAACGUUUUGUCCUGCAGUGAAAACAUAUUCCAUGAAGGCCACAGAGAGAAGGUUUCUACUCAAGAUGUCCGCACAAUUUACAAUUGUAAUUGACACCACUGACUUAAACCUUUGCUAAGCCACACAUUACACCUCAUUUUAUUUGCUCUUCUACACGCCGAGUACAUUUUAUUAUUAUUUUACACUCCUAGUACAUUUGAUUAUGUUUUUACUCGACAGGUACAUUUUAUUUGCUCUUCUACACGCCGAGUACAUUUUAGUUUUUUACAUGUUAGGUACAUUUUAUUUUGUUUUUUACUCAUCAGGUAUAUUUUAUUUUGUCUUCUACAAGUCAGGUACAUUUUAUUUAGUUUUUUACACGUCAGAUACAUUUUAUUUUGUAUUUUUACACAUUAGGUACAUUUUAUUUUUUAUUUUUACACAUUAGGUACAUUUUAUUUUUUAUUUUACCUGUCAGGUACAAUCUUAGAUCUUUAACACAUCAUGUACAUUUUAUUUUGUUAUUACCAGAAUAAAUACACUGUAUUAUUUUUAUUUUUUUUUACACAUCAGGUACAUUUUAUUUUGUUAAUUACCUGAACAGGUAAAUCUUUUUAUGAUUAUUUUUUCAAACGGUAGUUACAUUUGAUUUCUUUAUUUGCCCGAAGAAGGCAGCCAACAUACUCAAGGACCCGUGCCACCCCAGCACAGCCACUUCCAACCAUGCGAACCCACACAAAUAGACUCAAGAACAGUUUCUACCCCCGGGACAUAACUGCACUAAACGCAGCUGGAAUGUAAAAAAAGAAAUAAAAUACAAAUAAAAACACCCUCAUGUGCAAGAUGAGGAAGCCACGAUCUGGACUGUGUAAUGAGUGGUCACAUGCCAACUGGACAACAUUUACCAUGUGUAUUUACAUAUUUAAUCCAGAAUAAAAAGCCUGCACAGCACAGGAAGUAAGAACUACUGACUCCCAGCCACUCAGCACACUGGGAACCAGCAUUAUUCCUCUCUAGUCAGUUUACUAGUCACUUUAUACUUUUUAUUGUCUCCUUUUUUACAUUCCUCUUAGAGUGGUCUUAGGCCAUAUUGUACAUUACAUAUUGUGUUCUUUCUGUAUAUUGUGUGGUUUCUUCUUUAUUAAAUGCAAAACACCUCAGGGAAGCAACCUAAAA